ensembl:snoRNA small nucleolar RNA, C/D box 68
UGAUGACAUUCUCCGGAAUCGCUGUACUGCCGUGAUGAAAGUACACUUGAACCCUUUUCCAUCUGACGGCUGAGCGUUUGUU